AUUGAACGCUGGCGGCAUGCUUUACACAUGCAAGUCGAACGGCAGCACGGACUUCGGUCUGGUGGCGAGUGGCGAACGGGUGAGUAAUACAUCGGAACGUACCCAGUAAUGGGGGAUAACUAUCCGAAAGGACAGCUAAUACCGCAUACGCCCUACGGGGGAAAGAGGGGGAUCGCAAGACCUCUUGUUAUUGGAGCGGCCGAUGGCUGAUUAGCUAGUUGGUGAGGUAAAGGCUCACCAAGGCGACGAUCAGUAGCGGGUCUUAGAGGACGAUCCGCCAAACUGGAACUGAGACACGGUCCAGACUCCUACGGGAGGCAGCAGUGGGGAAUCUUGGACAAUGGGCGCAAGCCUGAUCCAGCAAUGCCGCGUGCGUGAAGAAGGCCUUCGGGUUGUAAAGCGCUUUUGUCAGGGAGCAAAAGGUGGUGGCUAAUAUCCAUCGCUCUUGAGAGUACCUGAAGAAUAAGGACCGGCUAACUACGUGCCAGCCGCCGCGGUAACAC
rnacentral:rRNA from 1 species